rfam:Picea glauca, whole genome shotgun sequence.
CCUGCUAACUAGCUACGCGGAGGUUCCCCUUCGCGACCAUCUUCUUAGAGGGACUAUGGUCGUUUAAGCCAUGGAAGUUUGAGGCAAUAACAGGUCUGUGAUGCCCUUAGAUGUUCUGGGCCGCACGCGUGCUACACUGAUGCAGUCAAUGAGUUUUUCUCCCUGGUUCAAGAGGAUCAAGAAAUCUUCUCAAAUUGCAUCGUGAUGGGGAUAGACCAUUGCAAUUAUUGGUCUUCAACGAGGAAUUCCUAAUAAGCACGUGUCAUCAUCUCAUGUUGACUACGUCCCUACCCUUUGUACACAUCGCCCGUCGCUCCUACCGAUUGAAUGAUCCGGUGAAGUGUUCGGAUCGCAUCAACGAGGGUGGUUCGCCACCUAUGAUGUCAUGAGAAGUUCACUGAACCUUAUCAUUUAGAGGAAGGAGAAGUCGUAACAAGGUUACCGUAGGUGAACUUGCAGUAGGAUCAUUG